UCAAAAAAAAAAAAAAAUUAUAUUCUCAUAAGAACAUCCUAAAAAUGGGCUAACUGAUAUGAUUACUAUCAUUAAGUAAUAUGAAUGAUAUUCUUCUGGCUAACUCUCAGAAAAUUGUAUUUAUUUUUAUUUCAAAAAUAACAUGUUUUAUAGAGAACCUCUGCAAAAUAUAGAAAAGAACAAAUAAGAAAGCUAAAUCAUGAGUUAGCUUUAAACACUACAAAUUACUUGUGUUAAGCUAUUAUGACUAAUAGGAAGAUUCCUGUAGUUAAAACUGGUUUUAAGUUAUCAAUAUAUGCUGGUAAGAGGGAAACUUUACUCAAAUAUUGUUUGUGCAGAUUCCUUGGUAUUUUUCAUCCCAGAAAGAACUGUUGUGGCUCUAGUCACAACAGAUUUGAAUCUUGAAAAUUAUGCAUUGCACCUACCUAAGUGCUCGCUGCAUGACUUAGUGCCAUCUACCAUUAAGAUCUGAAACCACAAAAUUUUCUUCUGUUUAUUGUGCCAUUGGGAAUUGAUAAUAGACAUUUUUGUUUUUUGUUACACUGGGAAUUGAUAAUAGACAUGAUUUUUACUGUUCCCCAAAGGAAUUAUUUUACAAAAUAAAUAGUUUCCAAUAUAUCAGGAUUCUACUUUUCCCCUUGUAUUUGUAUGAUAAAGUUUAAUAGUUGCUAGUUCCUGGUGCACAGUGUAAAUAAUCCAUCCUCUAAUCUACUUUGUCCCUUUCAUAUAAAGAUGUAAGAUAAAACAUAAUGUAUACAUUUUGCACUAAGCCAGAAGCACUCAAUCUAUAUUUGAUGAAAAAGUGAUAUUUACUAAUUUGGCUCAAAUUAUGCAGAUCAUACAUUGACUAAUUAGCUCGUGGAUAUUUAGUCUUCAUUUAACUAAGAGAGAGUUUGCAUUUUGUUUGCUAUUCCAGCAAAGUCUGGUAAUCCUUGUGAUUAAAGAAACAUGAUUUAUGUUUGCUGUGGAGAAACAUGAUCAUCCUGGCUACUAUGAAUCACUCUGGAAACAUCCCAUCUGUUUCCCAAUUACUCAGCUCAGACCAUUAGAUCAAAUUCAGUUCAGUUCAACAAACACGAAGCACCUUUCUUAGGCUCAAAAAGCUUUCCAUGAUAUAGGGAAGGCAAGCAAGCACAUAAACAAAUAAUUAUGAUGUAAUACAAUGUGAUAAAUACAACCAUAUGUUACUACUAGAUUUAGAAGAGGGAGUGCUUAACUUUGGAGUUGAAAUGGGCUUGGAGAAGGCCUUCCAGAAGUAAUGUUUGAGCUGGGUUGUAAAGGAUGAUAGAGUUCACCAGAAAUCUGUAUGAAAGGAUUGUCCUAGAGAAAAAAAAAAACCGCAGAUGCCUUGCAAAUGUUUCAUUACAGCUGCUAUUGAGUCAAGCGUGAGGCACUGUGAUGAGAGAAGUGCAGGAGAGGCCGAAUCAGGGUGUUGACCUUGGCCGCAUCAAUGUCACAGAGCUUCUUCACAGCCUGUUUGAUCUGCUGCUUGUUGGCUUUAACAUCCACCGUGAACACAAGUGUGGUGUUGUCUUCUAUCUUCUUCAUGGCGGACUCAGUGGUCCACAGAAACUUGAUGAUGGCAUAACGGUCAAGCUUGUUUCUCCUGGGGGCGCUAUUCCGAGGAUAUUUGGGUGGCCUCGAGUCGCAGUGUCCUGGGCCUCCGGAAGCAUUGCCCCUAGCCCAAGCAGUGGAACUCAAAUCUGUCCCUGGAAAAAAUGAGAAUGGUGACAUAAAAUGUGAGCAAUGGCUGGACGUGGUGGCUCAUGCCUGCAAUCCUAGCACUUUGGG